UGGAAGGAGCAGAUGGCCAGAGA
rnacentral:piRNA from 1 species